rnacentral:misc_RNA from 1 species
AAAGUCGUAACAAGGUUUCCGUAGGUGAACCUGCGGAAGGAUCAUUACCAAUUUAAUCCAAAAACACUUUAACCCAUGUGCACUGUGAAAUUGUUUGUCCUUGGGGUGGCGGCCGUUUUGUAUUUGCAAAAUGUUUGCUGCCCCACAUUUGUUUAACACAUUCUUAUUUUUGUGGCAUCUUAGUGUCUUAUAAUAAAUUGACAACUUUUAACGGUGGAUCUCUUGGCUCGUG